AGCCCAACUUGGCCCAGGUAUAAUGCUGACCUCCCACUCUGCAGACUUGAACAUCAGGAGAUUCUACCUGCCCAGCGUCUCCUUCUCAGGCCACGGUCCAUGACUACUGUGACUGACCACAGGGACUCAGAGUUCAAGCUCACUCCAAUGCAGCAGGUCAACUCAAUGCAGAAGGUCCACCCGAUGCAGCCGCUCAUCCCAAUGCAGCCAGUCAUCGUGAUGUCCUUGAAUCCCCCAGUAAAGGAUUAUUUGUUUCUUUCCAUCAUUUCCUUCCUGUUCUUCAUUCCGCUGGCAGUCCCAGCCCUCUUGUUCUCUCUCAAGACCCGGGACGCCAACUUCCUUGGGAAUCAAAGGAAAGCACAGAAAAAUUCCAGACUGGCCUUGGGCUUCAGCAUCUCAGGCAUCCUGAUGGGCUCCACUCUGAUCAUUUUCUCCAUUGUAAUCAGAGUCUUGAGACAAGAACUGUGAGAUCAUCUUGAAGGCUCAUCUCCCUCAGAGAGUCAUGAACUGCACCUCCCGGGUCCUCCUGGAGCCUUUGAACUUGGACGUCAGUAACCUACCUGUGCUGGAGGAAGUCUCCCCUCCAUCAGCAUUUUUAAAAGUAAUAAAGUUUAUGAGGAGGUUUCUGCUUUCCAUUCAUCUGCUGUACACGUGUUCGUGUGCCCCUGUGUGUUCACUUUGCUAAGUACCAUGGGGUUUAUGCAUAGUCAUAUAUAACAAUUAUUGGGCAACCACUAUAGUGUGCCAGGAACUGUUUUAAGCCUUAGUGAUUCAGUGCUGAUUCAGAUAGAUGAGGUAUUUGCCUCCAUAAAACUUACAUUAUAUUGAGAGGACACACAAAAAAAGAGUAAAAUGUAAAGCAACAAGAUAG